UACAGAGGUCUCAAGCGUUGUUCGGAUUCAUUGGGCGUAAAGGGUGCGUAGGCGGCGCGGUAAGUCGGGUGUGAAAACUCUGGGCUCAACCCAGAGCCUGCAUCCAAAACUGGAGAGCUUGGGUUCUGGAGGGGAAAGCGGAAUUCCUGGUGUAGCGGUGAAAUGCGUAGAUAUCAGGAGGAACACCGGUGGCGAAGGCGGCUUCCUGGACAGAUACCGACGCUGAGGCACGAAAGCUAGGGGAGCAAACAGG
rnacentral:rRNA from 1 species